GUUCCAGCCCACAGCCAGCCACCCAGGAAGGAAGCAUUUUGUUCCUUUUAGACAGGGGGUCUGGCCAGCCAUAUGGCCAUGUUGUCGAAAGGCUCUGAGUGAACAGAAAUUGUAGGAAAUUGCAAAGCAACCUCUGAAUAAUGAACAUCUUGCCAGGAAAAUGUAUCUGAUCUCUGAGGAAAGGUGUUGGAAGAGAUAGGAGACGGCAGGAGGAUUGUCUCAAACACAAGUUUGAGUUCUUUUGACAACAAUGUCUCCCUGUUUAUGAAAUAUAGAGAAUUCUGCUCAAGAAGCGAGGAAGUUUUGGAGACAUAAUCAGAAAGAGAGAAAUGCAGACAAAGAAGUUGUAGAAACUAGCUCACUUCUCAUCAUGCUAUUCUCAGAAUUUUUCUCUUCAUCUCGCACUAAAAACAACCCUGUGCAAAAGACAAACCUUUUCCAGAUGUUUUGGUGAAUUCACUUUUACUCUCCAUGGACAAUAAUAACCAGUUUUUGUUUAAGGCUUUACAAUUUAA
rnacentral:lncRNA from 1 species